AAGGGUAUAGCUCAGUGGUAGAGCACAUGCUUAGCAUGCACAAGGUCCUGGGUUCAAUCCCCAGUACCUCCA
rfam:Camelus ferus unplaced genomic scaffold scaffold1126, whole genome shotgun sequence.